AGUGAACGCUGGCGGUAGGCCUAACACAUGCAAGUCGAACGGCAGCACAGUAAGAGCCUGCUCUUACGGGUGGCGAGUGGCGGACGGGUGAGGAAUACAUCGGAAUCUACUUUUUCGUGGGGGAUAACGUAGGGAAACUUACGCUAAUACCGCAUACGACCUACGGGUGAAAGCAGGGGAUCUUCGGACCUUGCGCGAUUGAAUGAGCCGAUGUCGGAUUAGCUAGUUGGCGGGGUAAAGGCCCACCAAGGCGACGAUCCGUAGCCGGUCUGAGAGGAUGAUCAGCCACACUGGAACUGAGACACGGUCCAGACUCCUACGGGAGGCAGCAGUGGGGAAUAUUGGACAAUGGGCGCAAGCCUGAUCCAGCCAUACCGCGUGAGUGAAGAAGGCCUUCGGAUUGUAAAGCCCUUUUAUUGGGAAAGAAAAGCAGCAGGUUAAUACCCCGCUGUUCUGACGGUACCCAAAGAAUAAGCACCGGCUAACUUCGUG
rnacentral:rRNA from 1 species